rnacentral:rRNA from 1 species
UACGAAGGGGGCUAGCGUUGUUCGGAAUUACUGGGCGUAAAGCGCGCGCAGGCGGUCUUCCAAGUCAGUGGUGAAAGCCCGGAGCUCAACUCCGGAACUGCCAUUGAAACUGUGAGACUUGAGGAUGAGAGAGGUGAGUGGAAUUCCCAGUGUAGAGGUGAAAUUCGUAGAUAUUGGGAAGAACACCGGUGGCGAAGGCGGGCUCACUGGCUCGAUUUUCUGACGCUCAGGCGCGGACAGCGUG